GAAGAUAUAGCUCAAGUGGUAGAGUGUAUGCUUAGCAUGCAUGAGGACCUCGGUUCAAUCCCCAGUACCUACU
rnacentral:tRNA from 1 species